rnacentral:rRNA from 1 species
UACAGAGGUCCCAAGCGUUGUUCGGAUUCACUGGGCGUAAAGGGUGCGUAGGUGGUGAGGUAAGUCGGAUGUGAAAUCUCCGGGCUCAACCCGGAAACUGCAUUGGAAACUACCUUGCUUGAGGAUUUGAGGGGGGAUUGGAAUACUUGGUGUAGCAGUGAAAUGCGUAGAUAUCAAGAGGAACACCUGAGGUGAAGACGGGUUGCUGGGCUGACACUGACGCUGAGGCGCGAAAGCCAGGGGAGCAAACGGG